UCCCUGAUGGUUCAAUGGUUAAGACUCUGUGCUUCCACUACAGGGGUUGCAAGUUUGAUCCCUGGUCAGGGAA
rnacentral:tRNA from 1 species